rnacentral:rRNA from 1 species
GACGAACGCUGGCGGCGUGCCUAAUACAUGCAAGUAGAACGCUGAAACUUGGUGCUUGCACCGAGCGGAUGAGUUGCGAACGGGUGAGUAACGCGUAGGUAACCUGCCUGGUAGCGGGGGAUAACUAUUGGAAACGAUAGCUAAUACCGCAUAAGAGUAGAUGUUGCAUGACAUUUGCUUAAAAGGUGCAAUUGCACCACUACCAGAUGGACCUGCGUUGUAUUAGCUAGUUGGUGGGGUAACGGCUCACCAAGGCGACGAUACAUAGCCGACCUGAGAGGGUGGUCGGCCACACUGGGACUGAGACACGGCCCAGACUCCUACGGGAGGCAGCAGGAGGGAAUCUUCGGCAAGGGACGGAAGUCUGACCGAGCAACGCCGCGUGCGUGAAGAAGGUUUUCGGAUCGUAAAGCUCUGUUGUAAGAGAAGAACGAGUGUGAGAGUGGAAAGUUCACACUGUGACGGUAUCUUACCAGAAAGGGACGGCUAACUACGUG